UGCAGGGGGUUUCAGGGUGUUAUUGACUGACAGGAGUAAGUUGAUUAUGACUGUCGGAGGAGCUACGACGUUAGCUGCAGGAGUUUAUACUACUAGGCAUGAAACAAGUUGAGUGUGUGAUGGGAUCCCCCUAUCCUAAUCCAAGGCAGCAUAGGAGGAAUUCCUUUCCGUCCGUCUUCUAUCCAGGAAGGGUAUCUUCCCAUCCUAAAUCAUACAUUCUAUACACCUAUCUCUGCCCUGUUUUUGGUGGCCCUCCUUGUCGUCUACCCAGGAUGGGUAUCUUCCCUAUCCCAAACCUUGCAUUCUAUAAAUCCAUCUCUACCCUGAUUUUAGUGGAAAUUUUGAGAAUGAUCUGAUGAAACUUACCUUCGCAAGUCUUCAUGUACAAAAUGUUGACACAGUUAGAUAAAGAGAGACCUAGGCUCAAAUCUAUAUUACAUGGGAUCUUCAAGAUAAUUGAACUUCAAGUACUUGUGUUGGACACUGGAACAUGGAUAAAGGUAUGGGAUAUGUGUCCGAUACUUCCGUUAUGAAUCUUGAUAUGUGCAUAGCAAAAAUAUCUAUCAAUUAAAUGGCCUAAUAACCUUGGAUUAUAGGUUCAAGUCACAGGGUAACCACUUUAUACACUAUGCCAAAAGUUAGGUGUGUACCCAAUCUUUCCCCUCCCAAACACACAUUAAUGUGUACUAAUUGAACGCUUUUUUUAAAUUGUAUUUAACGUUGUCAUUAUUUGUACUUUUUGUUGCACAAUUACAAAGUGGCUUUUUUUGACACUCUUUAUGUUACAUAAAACACUAUUUUAUCCCAUAAAAUAUAUUUAAAAUAUGGUAAAUUACAAUUUUCCCUUCUAAAGUAUUAGCGUUUCUCUCACUUUGGCACUUGAAGUUUAUUUUUCCAACUUUGGUCCUCAAAAUAUGUAACUUUUCCUAAUUUGGGCUGUUGAAUGUAUAGAUGAUGAGAAGAAGAAGAAGAACAACAACGAGAGAGAGAGAGAGAGAGAGAGCUGCUGUAUAUUUCUUAAUUCAAAAAGCAUAGGGUUUCUCCCUCACAACUAUUUAUACUAAUAAGAAUAAUACAUAAAGACCAAACUACCCCUAACACUUAACACUCCCUCUCAAGUUGGUGCAAAGAUGUCUCUCAUGCCCAACUUGCAACAAAUAGGGUGAAAGACUUUACUACUAAGACCCUUAUUAAAAACAUCCGCCAGUUGAUUUUCAGACUUAACAAAGGCAUACAUAUCACGCCCUUAUUCAACUUCUCCUUAAUGAAAUGCCUAUCAAUCUCAAUAUGCUUAGUCCGGUCAUGUUGAACAGGAUUGUGUGCAAUACUAAUAGCAGCCUUGUUGUCGCAAUACAAAGUUAUGGGAUCACUCCAAUCAAGCCUUAUAUCACUCAACAAAGAUUGAAGUCACAUUAGUUCACAUGUUCCAUGUGUCAUAGCUCUAUAUUCAGCUUCAGCACUAGAUCUGGAAACUACCGCCUGCUUCUUACUACGCCGUGUGACUAGAUUUCCCCUACAAAAGCACAAUAACCGGAGGUAGAGCGUCGGUCAUCUAUAGAGCCUGUCCAAUCUGCAUUUGUGAACGAACGCUUCCAACCUCAAGUGACUAUGAUUAGAGAACAAAAUUUCUUUUCCAGGGAUAGAUUUAAGGUACCUCAAAAUGUGAUAGACUGCAUCCAAAUGAGUUGUACGAGGAUCAUACAUAAACUGAUUCACUGUCCCAACUGCAUAGGCAAUAUCUGGAUGAGUAUGAGAGAGAUAUAUCAGUCUUCCCACAAGUCUUUGGUACCUUUCCUUCUUCACAGGCUUGCUAAAUUCCACCACAAAGACGAUGAUUAGUCUCAAUCGAUGAAUCAGCUGGUCUGUAGCCCACCAUGCCCGUUUCCUCGAGAAAAUCCAGAAUGUACUUCUUUUGAGAAAUGAAGAUGCCUUUAUCAGAUCUGGCAACUUCAAUCCCAAGAAAGUAUCUCAAUGGACUAAGAUCUUUUAUCUCAAACUCCUUAGCUAACUGCAUCUUGAGAUGGGUCACCUCCUCCUCAUCAUUACUUGUCACAACUAUGUCAUCCACAUAUACAAUAAGCACUGUUACUUUAUGUACAUUGCAUUUGACAAAUAAAGUGUGAUCCGCGUUGCUUUGCUGAUACCCAAAUCCCAGCAUUGCCUUUAGGGAUCUACCAAACCUGGUUCUAGGAGAUCGUUUCAAACUGUACAAAGCCUUCUUCAAUCUACAAACCUUUCCAACUGUAGACUAAGAUGAGGAUCCUGGAGGUACAUCCAUAUAUACCUCUUCCUCCAAAUCCCCAUGAAGAAAAACAUUCUUCACAUCUAGUUGCUGUAGAGAGUAUCCCAAAUUAGUAGCACAUGACAGAAUAGCUCGAAUGAAAUUCAUCUUUGUUACUAGGGCAAAAGUUUCUUAAUAAUUUAUUCUAUAUGUCUGGGUAAAUCCCUUGGCCACUAGUUUUGGUUUGUAUCGUUCAAUCGUCCCAUCUGCAUUGUGCUUAAUGGUGAACACCCACUUACAUCCGACUGGUUUUUUUCCAUUAGGAAGAGACACCAACUCUCAUAUGUUAUUUUUACUCAAAGCUUGCAUCUCUUCUACCAUAGCUACCUUUCACUUAGAAUCAUUGAUGGCUUCUUUCCAACCCUGCGGAAUACACACAGAAGAAAGAGACGAAACAAAAGCACGAUAUGGAGAAGACUACGAAUCAUUUGACACAAAUUUAGAAAUAGGGUGUUGAGUACAAGCUCUAACCCCUUUUCUGAGAGCAAUAGGAAGACUCAAAUCAUUAGUAACAGGACCAUCAACAACAGGUGAAGAAAUGGGUUGAGGAUCAUUACUUGUAGAGUUAGUGCAAACUGGGUGUGGAACUGGCAUAGGAGAUGAUGAUUGACUUGGUGGCACAAGAGAAGCUUGCUCUUUCUGACGCCGUGAAUAAGUCCUAAGAUCAGCUCUGUCCAAACAACCACCGAUAUCCGACUCCUUAUCAACAGAAUUGCUAGGCUCUCUCUCACCACAAAUAACAGUCUGUUGAUUAGGAAGGAAAAAAGACAACUCAUGCUGAUAUGAUGCUGUCUUAUCCGCAAUCUCAUCAAUACCACUCUCCCUUUGAGGAGAUAGCGGGGAACUAGAAAAAAAGGACUCAAAUUCACAGAAGGUGGCAUCUAUUGUUAAAAUUCAUGUAUUAUUGAUUUAUAUAUUGAUAUCUGAUUGUUGUAUAA